GGGAAUAUAACUUAAUUGGUAGAGUAUUGUAUUUGCACUACAAAGGUUAGCAGUUCAAGUCUGCUUAUUUCCU
rnacentral:tRNA from 1 species